rnacentral:rRNA from 1 species
AACCUGCCCCAUAGUCUGGGAUACCACUUGGAAACAGGUGCUAAUACCGGAUAAGAAAGCAGAUCGCAUGAUCAGCUUUUAAAAGGCGGCGUAAGCUGUCGCUAUGGGAUGGCCCCGCGGUGCAUUAGCUAGUUGGUAAGGUAAAGGCUUACCAAGGCGAUGAUGCAUAGCCGAGUUGAGAGACUGAUCGGCCACAUUGGGACUGAGACACGGCCCAAACUCCUACGAGAGGCAGCAGUA